UUUUGCAGCUCAGGGGUAGAGCACUUGCCUAGCAUGCAUGAGGUCCUGAGUUCUAUCCCCAGCGUUGGAAAAU
rnacentral:tRNA from 1 species